rnacentral:rRNA from 1 species
AGUGAACGCUGGCGGUAGGCCUAACACAUGCAAGUCGAACGGCAGCACAGUAAGAGCUUGCUCUUACGGGUGGCGAGUGGCGGACGGGUGAGGAAUACAUCGGAAUCUACUUUUUCGUGGGGGAUGACGUAGGGAAACUUACGCUAAUACCGCAUACGACCUACGGGUGAAAUCAUGGGAUCUUCGGACCUUGCGCGAUUCAAUGAGCCGAUGUCGGAUUAGCUAGUUGGCGGGGUAAAGGCCCACCAAGGCGACGAUCCGUAGCUGGUCUGAGAGGAUGAUCAGCCACACUGGAACUGAGACACGGUCCAGACUCCUACGGGAGGCAGCAGUGGGGAAUAUUGGACAAUGGGCGCAAGCCUGAUCCAGCCAUACCGCGUGUGUGAAGAAGGCCUUCGGGUUGUAAAGCCCUUUUGUUGGGAAAGAAAAGCAGCAGGUUAAUACCCCGCUGUUCUGACGGUACCCAAAGAAUAAGCACCGGCUAACUUCGUG